CCCUUAGAUGUUCUGGGCCGCACGCGCGCUACACUGUUUGAUUCAGCGAGUCUUAACCUUGACCGAAAGGUUUGGGUAAUCUUCUAAAGUCAAACGUGAUGGGGAUCGAUCAUUGCAAUUAUUGAUCGUGAACGAGGAAUUCCUAGUAAAUGCAAGUCAUCAGCUUGCGUUGAUUACGUCCCUGCCCUUUGUACACACCGCCCGUCGCUCCUACCGAUUGAGUGGUCCGGUGAGGCUUUGGGAUCUGAGCGGAAAGAGCGUUUCGCUGUUUCUGCUCGGAAAACUCAGUCGAACCUUAUCAUUUAGAGGAAGGAGAAGUCGUAACA
rnacentral:rRNA from 1 species